CCUACGGGAGGCAGCAGUGAGGAAUAUUGGUCAAUGGGCGGAAGCCUGACCCAGCCAAGUAGCGUGCAGGAUGACGGCCCUACGGGUUGUAAACUGCUUUUAUACGGGAAUAACGCGCCUUACGUGUAGGGCUUUGCAUGUACCGUAUGAAUAAGGACCGGCUAAUUCCGUGCCAGCAGCCGCGGUAAUACGGAAGGUCCGGGCGUUAUCCGGAUUUAUUGGGUUUAAAGGGAGCGUAGGCCGCAUGUCAAGCGUGCUGUGAAAUGUCCGGGCUCAACCCGGGCCUUGCAGGGGGUACGGGCGUGCUUGAGUACACGGAAAGGAGGCGGAAUUCGUGGUGUAGCGGUGAAAUGGUUAGAUAUGACGAAGAACCCCGAGUGCGAAGGCAGCUUGCUGCAGCGGAACUGACGCUGAUGCUCGAAAGCGCGGGUAUCGAACAGGAUUAGAUACCCCUGUAGUC
rnacentral:rRNA from 1 species